rnacentral:lncRNA from 1 species
UUUCGUUGAUUUGUUUUGAAAAAAUGCGCCUUUGUUAUUUCAAAGAAAGAAGAAGUAAUGUGGCUGCAGAAAGGUGAGAGAGGAUAAGAUUUUGCAGGAAGUCCUUCAUUUCUUUUUCUGCUCAUAUUCUAAUUCAUGUCAUUUAUCUAUAUUUUAAUUGAAGUUGGAAAAGUCAAUUGGUUUUCAUUUGUUUUCAUUACCAUACGAUUAUUGAAAGAGUGUUG